UACGUAGGGUGCGAGCGUUGUCCGGAAUUAUUGGGCGUAAAGAGCUUGUAGGCGGUUUGUCGCGUCUGCUGUGAAAAUCCGGGGCUCAACCCCGGACUUGCAGUGGGUACGGGCAGACUAGAGUGUGGUAGGGGAGACUGGAAUUCCUGGUGUAGCGGUGAAAUGCGCAGAUAUCAGGAGGAACAUCGAUGGCGAAGGCAGGUCUCUGGGCCACUACUGACGCUGAGAAGCGAAAGCAUGGGGAGCGAACAGG
rnacentral:rRNA from 1 species